CCCGAUUGACCACACGUUGACCGUGGCCCUGGUUCUGGCGGGAACGCGGAGUCCGUUGACCAGACACUCUUGCGUUGACUCGUGCGGGACCAGCAGCGGGACCGGCGGGUGCAAGCGGAAGGUCUCCUUGGCAAUCGCUCUAACGUAGCCGAGGUUGAGGAGAUCAUCUUCGUUCACGGCUCGGUCAAACCCCACGGCCUGGUCAAUCUCGCGCUGGGCUUUGAGCAUGCAAGCUGGAUUGCGUAUGAGUUCUGAGAGGGCCCACUCCGUGGUGAUGGAAGCGGUGUCGACGCCAGCACCAAACAUAUCCUAGAAGCAAGAAAAGAUGAUAUUUUCUGAAGAUCUUAGGACUUUCACUCACCAUGAUCAGGCCCUUUCGAUCAUUGUCAUCUACUUCAUCCAGCGAGAGCAGCACAUCGACAAGAUCUGGAGCUCGUUGUUUCUCCGCAUUUACGCAUCUGUGCUCGUCGAUGAUUGCCUGGAAUAUCUUGUCAAGUUUGCCCUGCACGGCUUUCAUCUUUGGAACAGUGCCCAGAUAAUCAUCCAUCCAGCCGAGAUAGGGGAAGUAAUCACUGGGAACAAAACCAGUCACAAGACCAAUCGCCUCUUGCAAGAGCUCCACAAACGAGGAUUCCUCAAACCUCCGGCUGAAUGCCAUGAAACUCACCAAGUUCAUGUUGGUCAUUGAUAAUUUGGCAUUCAUGUCAAUCGCAACCCUUCCAUUGUCACCCUCCCGAGCAAUAGAGGUCACAAGACGAGAAAUCUCUUCCACCCUCAGCUUCUUUGACUCCUCCACCCUCUUGGCAGUGAAGAGCUCCAGAGUACAAACCUUCUUCAUUGUCCUCCAGUAAGAUCCAUACUCGCACCACACCAUAUCCCUUGCGUUGAAGAAGAUAUGCUUGGCAGCAGCAGUCCUUGGCCUGGAUGCAAAGAAGAUGUCCUGCGUGGAGAGAAUGGCUUUUGCAGCAUCUGGAGAAGAGAUUACAAGCGUUGAAACAGAGCCUAGAUCGAUGCUCAUGACAGAUCCAUAUUUCUUGGAGAGACUACAGAGGGAUUUGUGUGGAUGCCUUCCCAGCAAGUGAAGAUGGCCCAAGAGUGGGAUCGCCAAAGGCCCUGGGGCUACAUUUUUCUUGCUGCAAAGCCACCACCAUAAUAAUGGGAGUAGCACAAUCAAAAGAGCUACAAUGAGGGCUGCCAUGUCUUCCAUUGGUACGAAAGCUGAAUGUUUUUUAUGGCACGAAAGUAAGGUGUCCAAUAAAUGGAAAAUGACUGAUCUUUGCCUUUUGCAACAUGGCGAGUUUACCUUCCAAAAUGUCAAGCUGGGAAACGCCAACUUGGACUUUGGAGCUCCACUCCCCAAUUACACGUGUGAGGACAAGAUUCAAGCAAUGGGGGAGGCCACAACCACCACAACCAAUAAUGUUGGCCGGUGAACGGCGGCAACUAUCAUCCAAGCAGCUUAUCUCAAUACACCAGUCUCAUACUUACGAGGGUUUUAUACGCAGACAAUAAAAUGAUUCAGUUAAGCUUGGAGAGACGCUUGUCUCAAAUUUCCCACUCUAGCUUCUGGCUCAAAUCCCAAAUUUACUAAUUUGAUUAGCGUAAAACCUUGUUCCUGGACUGCUUGAAAUCUGGUUCUUCUUGUUACUUCUUCUGUAUCCUCUUGUUUUGUAGCUCAAACACCACUUUGAAGAAGAUCGAGAAGGACAUAUCUUAGGAUUAGUCUGCAAGUGAAUGAUUAAACAUAAGAAAAUUAUUUAUGUAUGCGCUUGAUUCAUCGUGAAAACCAGCCGUCCUGCCAAUCUUCAAGAGCUUCGAUAUUUUCUCGAUUAACUUUCAAAGUUACAGAUAUACGGAUGGGAAACCAAAUUACAUUCUAAACGUAAAGCUCUGCCUUCAAACGGGGCAUUGCAAGAGCACUCAGAUGCACUCUCUUCCGGAGCGUCACCCCAAAUUCCUCCUCCAUAUUCAGCUCUUGCAGUCCUGCUGGCAAAUUCCACUCGAAUCCCUGGAUCAACCUCGCAAGUGAGAGUUCAACCAUGGCCAAUCCCAAGCCCAUCGCCGGGCACAUCCUCCGCCCAGAUCCAAACGGAAGAAGCUCAAAGUGCUGCCCUUUGACAUCAAUCACACUCCUCGCAGCAAACCUGUCCGGAUCAAACAUCUCCGGACGCUCCCACCACCUUGGAUCCCUCCCGAUUGACCACACGUUGACCGUGGCCCUGGUUCUGGCGGGAAUGCGGAGUCCGUUGACCAGACACUCUUGCGUUGACUCGUGCGGGACCAGCAGCGGGACCGGCGGGUGCAAGCGGAAGGUCUCCUUGGCAAUCGCUCUAACGUAGCCGAGGUUGAGGAGAUCAUCUUCGUUCACGGCUCGGUCAAACCCCACGGCCUGGUCAAUCUCGCGCUGGGCUUUGAGCAUGCAAGCUGGAUUGCGUAUGAGUUCUGAGAGAGCCCACUCA
rnacentral:lncRNA from 1 species